rnacentral:lncRNA from 1 species
AUUGAAGAGUUCUAACAUCUUAUCUAGUUUGUUUCUAUAUUUCAUUAUUGAAUCAUUUGAACAUUUCAAAUGAUUCAGGCCAGACACACCCAUGCCCAGAUAGGUCAUCUGUAAUGAAAUAUUAAUAUAUUUUUCUGGCACUUAGGUCCACAUACAUCACUAUAUAUGAGACUUAAAACUUUAUCAGCUCUUUCAUCUUUUCCAUUAAAAGGUGAUUUUGUCAUCU